rnacentral:rRNA from 1 species
UGUAGAACUCUUUGGACACUCGUAUACAGGUGGUGCAUGGUUGUCGUCAGCUCGUGUCGUGAGAUGUUGGGUUAAGUCCCGCAACGAGCGCAACCCUCGUUCUAUGUUGCCAGCACGUAAUGGUGGGAACUCAUGGGAUACUGCCGGGGUCAACUCGGAGGAAGGUGGGGAUGACGUCAAAUCAUCAUGCCCCUUAUGUCUUGGGCUUCACGCAUGCUACAAUGGCCGGUACAAAGGGCUGCAAUACCGUGAGGUGGAGCGAAUCCCAAAAAGCCGGUCCCAGUUCGGAUUGAGGUCUGCAACUCGACCUCAUGAAGUCGGAGUCGCUAGUAAUCGCAGAUCAGCAACGCUGCGGUGAAUACGUUCCCGGGUCUUGUACACACCG